CUAGCACUUGUAAUCAAUCAAAUUCAUUGUAUUAUAACAUAUUCUAACCUAAAAUAACUUUAUACAAGCCAUUCACUGCCUCAAAGCAAUGGUUUUGGGUUCUUAUGCCAUUUGUGACCAAAUAUCAACAAGUCUUUCUUCUCACUUUUAAACAUUCUUCAUGCAUAUCUAGCACUUGUAAUCAAUCAUAUUCAUUGUAUUAUAACAUAUUCUAACCCAAAAUAACUUUAUACAAGGCAAUCACUUUAAGAUUUGAGUUAAAAGAUCGAGUGAAUAAGAAGAUUAGAGGUUUUGGAUCGAACAAGGAAGAAUUGUGGAGUUUAGUGUGCGAAAAGAGAGAGUAUAGAAGAGAGAGUAGAUAAACUCUACUUACUUGAUUUAGAACAACAUACAAAGCUAUAUAUAGACAGCUACAAAAAGAAUACCAAAACCCUAGGGCUAUACACGAUUGACCACAAAGUGAAAGUGACAUCUCUUGGUAAAAGUGUUUAAAACACACAUGUGACCUCUCCACUUGCGCAUACUCCAACGGCUAGAAAGGAAGGAUCUAGGCCUUCUUCUUUUCUUCUCUUCAACUUCGAAUAAGGCCUUUUAAAUGGGCUGGAGUGGAUGUGCAUGAUCGGGCUUACAUUUGGUGCAUGUACGGAUGGCCUUAUAAUGACGAGUGUACGGACGGUCAGAUUGUACGAACGGUCGAAGGAAUUCUCUCGAUCCGGAACGACAAUGAGAUCGACCGAGAUGGACGACCGAUCGAUCCCGGACAUGAUCACUUCGAUCAUGGUUAUUUCUUCAACCGGUUUACACUCCCCCUCAAGCUUUACCUUUAAGCAUCUCUUUAAGGUGAAGCUUGAAACAAUAACCACCCACCUCAUUAAAAACCUUAGUAUAGAAAACCAUAUGGGAAAAACUAUACAUAAGGGAAAAAGAGUGUGAGUGUUAUGGUUUGGUGAGAUCCACAAGAGCAAGCUUCGAGUGAAUGUAUUCACAAACUUGUGGACUUGCUGCCUUGGUGAAGAUAUCCGCAAGUUGUUCGGAGCUUUCGGUGUAACACGGUAGAAUGACUCCCAAUCCAACUUGUUCUCGUACCUUGUGGCAAUCAACUUCGAUGUGUUUUGUUCUCUCGUGGAAGACCGAGUUUGAUGCAAUGUGUAUAGCCGCUUCAUUAUCACAAUGCAUAGUGAUCGGAGUUGUUGAUUCUACUCCAAGGUCUUUGAGAAGAGCUUUGAGCCAUAUUAACUCAGUUGUGAGCUUCCUCAUUGCUCUAUACUCCGACUCGGCACUAGAGAGAGACACCACCUUUUGCUUCUUGCUCUUCCAUGUAACUAGAUUGCCUCCAAUGAACGUGCAAUAUCCGGUUGUUGAGCGCCGAUCUUUUCUAUCUCCGGCAUAGUCCGCAUCACAAUAGCCAACAAGUUCCGCAUUGCCAUUACAACCCAUCCAAAUGCCUUGACCCGGUGCUCCUUUGAUGUAUUUGAGAAUGCGGCUCACCAUAUCCCAAUGAUGCACGGUUGGAGCUUGCAUAUGUUGACUAACCUGAUUCACGGCAUAACAAAUAUCAGGUCGGGUGAUAGUAAGAUAGAUUAACUUACCUACUAAUCUUCGGUAUUGAGUCGCAUCUUCAAAUGGUGCAUCUCCUAGCUCCCCCUUGCUAUUAGUUUGGUAAUCCGGGUCAAGAGGUGCUGCUACCGGUCUUGAGCCAAGCUUUCCUACAUCAUUUAAGAGAUCAAGUGCAUAUUUUCUUUGUGACAAGAAUAAGCCUUCUUUUGAUCUACACACUUCUAUACCAAGAAAAUAUUUUAAUUCUCCAAGAUCUUUAAUGUCAAAAACAGUUUUAAGAAAAUCUUUUGUGUUUUGAAUUCCUACCUUGUCAUUCCCGGAUAUGAUGAUAUCAUCAACAUAUACAAGGAUGACAACAAUACCUUCUUCACUUGGCAAGGUGAAUAAUGUGUGGUCCGCUUCAGAUUUCUUAAAACCUUUGUCCAUCAAGGUUGUACUAAGCUUGUGGUACCAAGCUCUUGGAGAUUGCUUUAAUCCAUAGAUAGCUUUCUUAAGUUUUAACACCUUCCCGGAUGUGAUCGUGUCUUCCAUGACCGGUGGUGGUCUCAUAUAAACCUCAUCUUCGAGUUCUCCUUGGAGAAAAGCGUUUUUCACGUCCAUUUGCCAUAAUUCCCAUUCCAAGUUCAUGGCUAGAGAGAGAACCACCCGGACGGUAUGAAGUUUAGCUACCGGAGCAAAGGUGUCGAGAUAAUCUUCUCCAUAUGUUUGUGUGAAGCCCCUCGCUACAAGCCGAGCUUUGUAACGUUCUAUCCCCCCGUCACUCUUGUACUUGAUAGUGAAGAUCCAUCUAGAGGUAACGGCCUUCUUUCCUUUGGGAAGAUCCGCCUCAUCCCAUGUGUGGUUUGAUUCCAUGGCCAUGGUUUCAUUCUCUAUUGCAUCACGCCACUCUUUGUGUUCUUUAGCUUCUUCAUACGUUUGGGGAAUCCAAUGAGAGUCCACUUGAGUAAGGUAAGCUUGAUGAUCGAUCGGAAAAUGUGCAAGAGUGCAAACUGCUUGUAUAGGGUGAGCUACGGCCAUGUUGUUGUAGUAGACUCUAGUAUUCUUCCAAUUUGAUGAUGGUUGUUUGAGUCGUUCACUUCUCCGAAGAUGAACAAUUUCUUCAUCAUGGUUGUCUUGAGGUAGUUCGGGUUCGGGUUCACUUCCAAGUGAAUUUAAACCAUCCUCCUCUUCUUCACCAUAUUCUUCUUCUUGAUUCAUGGUUUCAUCAUUUGCAUCAUUUGUAUCUUCCGGUGUAGUGUGGUUUCCUUCUUGAUCUUGAUUAGUAGUUUCCGGAGGUAUUGUGUUGGUGGAAUCUUUGUUGGUUUGAAAGUUGUCGAGACCAAGCUUUUCAAGGAUGAUCCUUAGAUUGGUUGCUCGAUCGGAUGAUGAAUAAGAUAGGUCCUUCAAGCUUUCCCAAUUCUUUUCAUCAUAGUACCCUUUUGUCUCAACAAACUUCACAUCACGCGAGACCAACACUUUUCUCGUUUCCGGAUCAUAACACUUGUACCCCUUUUGUGUUAUUGAAUACCCAAUGAAGAUCCCCUUGAUACUCUUUGCUUCAAGUUUGUUUCGAAGUUCACCUGGUUUCAAAACAUAACAAACACAACCGAAUACUCGUAAGUGAUUGAUUGACGGUUUAGUAUUAUUAAGAACUUCAAAGGGAGAAAGAUCGCUUAGGAUUUUCGUGGGUAUCCGGUUGAUCAAGUAGCAUGCGGAUACCACCGCAUCUCCCCAAAAACGUUUUGGAACAUUGGUGUGGAACAUCAUUGAUCUUGCAACCUCCAUGAGAUGUCUAUUCUUUCUCUCGGCCACACCAUUUUGUUGGGGAGUGUAGGGACAGCUAGUUUGAUGAAUGAUUCCAUGUUUAUUGAGAUGUUGCUUGAACUCAUUGCUAGUGUACUCCCCUCCAUUAUCUGAUCUCAAAAUCUUAAUCUUGGCAUUAAAGUGAUUAGUAACAUAGUUUUGGAAAUUUGUAAAAGCUUCAAGAACUCUAUCUUUAGUUGGAAUCAAGGUAAGCCAAGUAUAUUUCGAUUUUUCAUCAAUGAAUGUGACAAAAUACUUAUGAUUUUCUCUAGAUAUGCAAGGUGAUGUCCACACAUCCGAAUGAACAAGAUCAAAGCAUUUUUCAUAGAUAGUCAUAGAUUUUGGAAAAACAGAUUUGCAAUGCUUUCCAAGAAUACAAGCUUCACAUUCAUCAUUCUUAAAAGAAACACUAGGCAAUAUUAAGCUUAAAGCACGAGAGUGGGGGUGACCAAGUCUAGCAUGCCAAAUAGCACUAUUCGCACAAACAACAAUAGAGUUAAAACAAGAAGAAGAGGAUUUAGAUAAAUCGGAGCCCUUAAGAACAUAGAGAUCAUCUUGGGUCUUCCCUUGGCCAAGAAGUUUACUUGUCUCAAUAUCCUGAAAAUAAACUUCAUUAGGUCCAAAUAUAACAUGACAAUUGAGAUCCUUAGUUGCCUUCUUAACCGAAACUAGAUUAGAAGCAAAACUAGGCAUAUAAAAAGCUUUACAAUCUCUAUCAAACAAUUUUAAGUUUCCAAUCCCUUUAACCGGUACUCUAUCUCCAUUAGCUAUAGUAACAUUUCCUAGAGUUGGUUCAACAUCACUUAUUAGCUUAGAAUCACUAAUCAUAUGAUGAGAAGCUCCGGAAUCAACUAUAAUCGGUUUAAUGGAGUUAAGAGCAAGAUUUACGUUACCGGAUGAUUCUUUUAGGAUCUUGAUAAGAGCAUCGAGGUCGGAUCUCCUCACAAGCUCCGAAGAUGCAUUGAGAGCAGUUCCACUUCCUUCAAUGACUUGGGGUUUGGCCUCCGGAAUGUGAGCUUCACUUGAUGAAGUUGCAAGGUGAGCUCUCGGUUCAUGGUUCUCUUCUCUUGGGCGAAGGUGAGGGUGGAGAAUCCAACACUUCUCACGGACAUGGCCAUUUUUCUUGCAAUGGUGGCAAAAGGGCCUCUUGUGUCCGUUGUUGUUGUUGUUGUUGCUUCCUCUAUAGUAGCUUUUGUUGGCCGAGGCAACUUCAACUUGAUUGGCGGUGACAAGUUCUCCUUUUCCACCGAACAGCCCCAUGGAACCAUGUUCCCUUUGUACUUGAGAACAUACUUCAUCAAGGCUUGGAAGCUUAUCAGCCCGGAGGAUAUGCUUGAUGAGGUCAUUGUAAGACGCAUUCAAGGUGAGGAGAAGACCGAACACCUUGUCUUGUUCUCGGCGUUCAUUGAUGACCGCCGGAUCCAUUGUACUUGGCCUUAGCAUUUCAAGCUCAGCCCAUAGGGAUCUAAACUUCCCAAAAUGUUUGGUAAACUCCAUGUCUUCUUGGCUAAGGUUAUUGAUAGCUCUCUUAACCUCAAAGACACGGUUUAGAUUGGUAAUGUUACCAAAAACAUUCUUGAGGGUAUCCCAUAGCUCCUUUGCGGUUUCACAAUAGGAGUAUGCUUCAAGGAUUGGAGCAUCUAGAGAAUUUUGGAUGAGAGCAAGAACAUUUUGGUCCUCUUGGAACCAUUUCUCUUCAUCGACCGGGACUAUUUCUUUCCCUUCUUUGGUGGUUGCAUCUUUUGGAGUUUCACUCUUCUCGAUGUGACUCCACAACCCACGCCCGCACAAGGCUGUCUUUGUGGUUCUCGCCCACAGCAAGUAGUUUCCACCCUUGAGAGUGACUGGAACAACCAAGUUCUUGAGACCUUGCAUGGAGAAUGGACCGUUGGAUAAAGCUAGUGACCGACGGGUAAAGAUGAGAAACUAUGAGCGGUUUCAAGAACGGGUUUGGAGAGAUUUAAAGAAGACGAAUAGAGUUAAGAAUGAGGUGGGUGAGAUUAUAGGUUGAUUAAGAGCAACCUGGCUCUGAUACCAUGUAAGAUUUGAGUUAAAAGAUCGAGUGAAUAAGAAGAUUAGAGGUUUUGGAUCGAACAAGGAAGAAUUGUGGAGUUUAGUGUGCGAAAAGAGAGAGUAUAGAAGAGAGAGUAGAUAAACUCUACUUACUUGAUUUAGAACAACAUACAAAGCUAUAUAUAGACAGCUACAAAAAGAAUACCAAAACCCUAGGGCUAUACACGAUUGACCACAAAGUGAAAGUGACAUCUCUUGGUAAAAGUGUUUAAAACACACAUGUGACCUCUCCACUUGCGCAUACUCCAACGGCUAGAAAGGAAGGAUCUAGGCCUUCUUCUUUUCUCCUCUUCAACUUCGAAUAAGGCCUUUUAAAUGGGCUGGAGUGGAUGUGCAUGAUCGGGCUUACAUUUGGUGCAUGUACGGACGGCCUUAUAAUAACGAGUGUACGGACGGUCGGAUUAUACGGACGGUCGAAGGAAUUCUCUCGAUCCGGAACGAAAAUGAGAUCGACCGAGAUGGACGACCGAUCGAUCCCGGACAUGAUCACUUCGAUCAUGGUUAUUUCUUCAACCGGUUUACAUUCACUGCAUCAAAGCAAUGGUUUUGGGUUCUUAUCCCAUUUGUGACCAAAUAUCAACAAGUCUUUCUUCUCACUUUUAAACAUUCUCCAUGCAUCUCUAGCACUUGUAAUCAAUCAAAUUCAUUGUAUUAUAACGUAUUCUAACCCAAAAUAACUUUAUACAAGCUAUCCACUGCCUCAAAGCAAUGGUGUUGGGUUAUUAUCCCAUUUGGGACCAAAUAUCAACAAGUCUUUCUUCUCACUUCUAAACAUUCUUCAUGCAUCUCAAGCACUUGUAAUCAAUCAAAUUCAUUGUAUUAGAACAUAUUCUAACCCAA
rnacentral:lncRNA from 1 species